rnacentral:rRNA from 1 species
CUGCAACCCGCCUGCAUGAAGUCGGAAUUGCUAGUAAUCGCGGAUCAGCAUGCCGCGGUGAAUACGUUCCCGGGCCUUGUACACACCGCCCGUCACACCAUGGGAGCCGGUAAUACCCGAAGUCAGUAGUCCAACCUCGUGAGGACGCUGCCGAAGGUAGGGAUUGGCGACUGGGGUGAAGUCGUAACAAGGUAUC